GAUAGUUCAUGCAUGGAUUUUAAAAUUUUUUUAUGCAGUGGAAGCAAUUAAGAUUAAACUAUUUAAUCUACCAUACACUAGAUCUAAUCUACAACUGCCUAAGCAUAGAUCUUAUGACACAAAACAUGCAUGCAUAAUCUGAAAAUACAUCUGAAAUAUUAGAUCUAAUCUAAUUAUGAUAGAGAUCAGAUAUCUAUACCUGAGCAUGAAGAUUGAGGGAUUAUAUGUUGCUCCAGCCGCAC
rnacentral:lncRNA from 1 species